UUAUUGGAGAGUUUGAUCCUGGCUCAGGACGAACGCUGGCGGCGUGCCUAAUACAUGCAAGUCGAGCGGAUUGAUGGGAGCUUGCUCCCUGAUAUCAGCGGCGGACGGGUGAGUAACACGUGGGCAACCUGCCUGUAAGACUGGGAUAACUUCGGGAAACCGGAGCUAAUACCGGAUAACUUCAAGCACCUCCUGGUGCUUGAAUAAAAGACGG
rnacentral:rRNA from 1 species